CGGCGACCGGCAAACGGGUGCGGAACACGUACACAACCUUCCUUCAAAUGGGGAAUAGCCCAGGGAAACUUGGAUUAAUACCCCGUAAUAUUAUGAGGUGGCAUCACUUUAUAAUUAUAGCUCCGGCGUUUGGAGAUGGGUGUGCGGCUGAUUAGGUAGUUGGUAAGGUAACGGCUUACCAAGCCUUCGAUCAGUAACUGGUGUGAGAGCACGACCAGUCACACGGGCACUGAGACACGGGCCCG
rnacentral:rRNA from 1 species